rnacentral:tRNA from 2 species
GUGUCUGUAGCCUAGUUGGUAAAGGAAGCACUCUUGUAUGUGACUCAGCAUUGCUGAGGUUGUGACUUCAAAUCUCACCAGGCACA